rnacentral:rRNA from 1 species
AUGGUUAUCGUUCCCAUCCUUCUCCUGCUGCUCCUGCCCUUCGUUGGUGCCCAAUGGCUAGUGUGCGGUGACAGCGGCAACUAUACAUCAAACAGCACCUACCAAGCCAACCUCAUGCUCCUCUCGUCUACCCUCCCCAACAAGGCCGUGUCCAACACCAGCGUCUUCGCCACCGCCACCGUGGGCCAUGCUCCGGACAUCAUCUAUGCCCUUACGCUCUGCCACGGGGACAUCACCGACGCCUCUGACUGCGAGAGCUGCGUCGCUGCCGCCUUCAAAGAUGCGCAGCUGAGCUGCCCGUACAAUAAGGAAGUCAGCACGUACUACGAUUACUUCAUGCUCAGGUUCUCCAACCAUAAUUUUCUCCUUGCCAACAGUACCGAAGAUCAGAUGAAGUGGAUCAACCUCCGGAACACCCUGAACUUCACGACAGGUGGCGACUCCAUCACGCACUUGUUGUUCAUGCUUCUGAACAGCACGGCCCAAGCGGCUGCAAACAGCUCCAGGAGGUUCACCACCUCGCGCUUAGGCGUCAACAUCGUCCCAACGGUGUACUGCUUUAUGCAGUGCACGCCCGACCUCACGCCCCACGACUGCGCGGCUUGCUUACAGGUUGUUUUGAAGCAUACGCUCAAGUUCCUAGAUGGAGCGCAAGGUGGUCGAAUUCUCGGGACACGGUGUAGCAUGAGGUACGAGCUAUACCACUUCUACGAAGGGGUCCCCAUGCUUGCAAUUCCGGUGGUCAACGGCACUACGCCAGCGCCCACGCCCGCUACCAGACACAACUCACGCAAGAGGGUGUUGUGGAUUAUUGCUGGGGUGGCUCCACUACUGUCAAUACUUCUAUGCGUUAUCUGUUCCGUUGUAUGGACGAGAAGAAGAAGACAAGGAAAGGUAAACUUAAACGACCAGGCUGCCACCAAUAGACCGGAAGAAAAUGAACUGGUCUGGAGAUUGGAGGAGAAGAGUUCAGAGUUCACUCUCUUUGACUUUUCUGAGAUAUUGCAUGCUACACAUAACUUCUCCAAGGAAAAUCUACUUGGACAAGGUGGCUUUGGCCCUGUCUACAAGGGCCAAUUACCAGAUGGAAUGCAAAUCGCUGUCAAAAGGCUUGCCUCACAUUCAGGACAAGGUUUUACAGAAUUCAAAAAUGAAGUUGAACUUAUUGCAAAAUUACAACACAAUAAUCUCGUCAAGCUCUUGGGAUGCUGCAUUCAAGGAGAGGAAAAACUGUUGGUGUAUGAGUAUUUGCCAAAUAAGAGCUUGGACUUCUUUAUAUUUGAAAGAAACAGGACAGCCUUUAUUGAUUGGAACAAAAGACGUGUGAUAAUCGAAGGGAUAGCCCAAGGUCUUCUCUAUCUCCACAAGCACUCUUGGCUACGCAUCAUACACAGAGACCUUAAGGCCAGCAACAUUCUCUUGGACCAGGAUAUGAAUCCUAAAAUUUCUGAUUUUGGCCUAGCAAAAAUAUUCAGCUCCAAUGAUACUCAGGGAAGCACAAAGAGGGUAGUUGGAACAUAUGGUUAUAUGUCUCCGGAGUAUGCCUCUGAAGGCAUUUACUCAAUCAAAUCAGAUGUGUUCAGCUUUGGCGUGUUACUUCUUGAGAUCCUUAGCGGAAAAAGAAAUUCUGGUUUCUAUCAGUAUGGUGACUUUCUUAACCUUCUUGGAUAUUCAUGGCAACUAUGGGAAGGAGGAACAUGGAUUGAGCUUCUAGAUGCAUCAAUUGCAAAGGAGAUCUGUACAUCAGAUGCUAGGAGGUACAUUAACAUCGCACUGAUGUGUGUACAAGAGAGUGCAGAUGAUCGACCCACCAUGUCAGAUGUUGUUGCAAUGUUAAACAGCGAGAGUGGUAUUCUUCCAGAACCAAAUCAUCCAGGAUACUUCAACCUAAGGGUAUCUAAGACACAUGAAUUUUUUGUUCCAUGUAGUAACAAUGAUGUAACCAUCACUGAGGAGCCACAUGGCAGAUAG